UACGUAGGGGGCUAGCGUUGUCCGGAUUUAUUGGGCGUAAAGAGCGUGUAGGCGGCCAGGUAGGUCUGCUGUGAAAACUCGAGGCUCAACCUCGAGACGUCGGCGGAAACCAUCUGGCUAGAGUCCGGAAGAGGAGAGUGGAAUUCCUGGUGUAGCGGUGAAAUGCGCAGAUAUCAGGAAGAACACCCGUGGCGAAGGCGGCUCACUGGCCCGGUACUGACGCUGAGGUGCGAAAGCGUGGGGAGCAAACAGG
rnacentral:rRNA from 1 species